rnacentral:rRNA from 1 species
GACGAACGCUGGCGGCGCGCUUAACACAUGCAAGUCGAGCGAUGAAAUUUCGACAGAUCCCUUCGGGGUGAAGAUGAAAUGGAUUAGCGGCGGACGGGUGAGUAACCCGUGAGUAACCUGCCUUUGACAUUGGGAUAGCCUCGGGAAACUGGGAUUAAUACCAAAUGACACUAACUGAUCACAUGAUCAAUUAGUCAAAGAAAUUCGGUCAAAGAUGGACUCGCGGCUGAUUAGCUAGUUGGUGAGGUAACGGCCCACCAAGGCGACGAUCAGUAGCCGGCAAGAGAGGGUGAGCGGACACAUUGGAGCUGAGACACGGUCCAAACUCCUACGGGAGGCAGCAGUGGGGAAUAUUGCAAAAUGGGGGAAGCCCUGAUGCAGCGACGACGGGUGAGCGAAGAAGGCCUUCGGGUCGUAAAGCUCUUUUAUGAGGGAAGAUAAUGACGGUACCUCAAGAAAAAGCCCCGGCUAACUACGUG